GAUGAAGAACGCAGCGAAAUGCGAUAAGUAAUGUGAAUUGCAGAAUUCAGUGAAUCAUCGAAUCUUUGAACGCAUCUUGCGCUCCUUGGUAUUCUGAGGAGCAUGCCUGUUUGAGUGUCAUUAAAUUCUCAACCGCACUGACUUUGAAUUGGUGUGGCUUGGAUUUGGGGGGAAAAUUGUUGUGGGCUUUUUUGUAUAGUCUGCUCCCCUGAAAUUGAUUAGCGGUACCUUUGUGGAACUGUCUACAGGUGUGAUAAUUAUCUACAUCCUAGACAUCUGCUGGAAUGCUGCUUUCUAAACCUUACUUGUAUUGUCAAUCUUGACCUCAAAUCAGGUAGGACUACCCGCUGAACUUAAGCAUAUCAAUAAGCGGAGGA
rnacentral:misc_RNA from 1 species